rnacentral:rRNA from 1 species
GGGGAAUAUUGCACAAUGGGCGCAAGCCUGAUGCAGCCAUGCCGCGUGUGUGAAGAAGGCCUUCGGGUUGUAAAGCACUUUCAGUCGUGAGGAAGGUAGUGUAGUUAAUAGCUGCAUUAUUUGACGUUAGCGACAGAAGAAGCACCGGCUAACUCCGUGCCAGCAGCCGCGGUAAUACGGAGGGUGCGAGCGUUAAUCGGAAUUACUGGGCGUAAAGCGCAUGCAGGUGGUUUGUUAAGUCAGAUGUGAAAGCCCGGGGCUCAACCUCGGAAUUGCAUUUGAAACUGGCAGACUAGAGUACUGUAGAGGGGGGUAGAAUUUCAGGUGUAGCGGUGAAAUGCGUAGAGAUCUGAAGGAAUACCGGUGGCGAAGGCGGCCCCCUGGACAGAUACUGACACUCAGAUGCGAAAGCGUGGGGAGCAAACAGGAUUAGAUACCCUGGUAGUCCACGCCGUAAACGAUGUCUACUUGGAGGUUGUGGCCUUGAGCCGUGGCUUUCGGAGCUAACGCGUUAAGUAGACCGCCUGGGGAGUACGGUCGCAAGAUUAAAACUCAAAUGAAUUGACGGGGGCCCGCACAAGCGGUGGAGCAUGUGGUUUAAUUCGAUGCAACGCGAAGAACCUUACCUACUCUUGACAUCCAGAGAACUUUCCAGAGAUGGAUUGGUGCCUUCGGGAACUCUGAGACAGGUGCUGCAUGGCUGUCGUCAGCUCGUGUUGUGAAAUGUUGGGUUAAGUCCCGCAACGAGCGCAACCCUUAUCCUUGUUUGCCAGCGAGUAAUGUCGGGAACUCCAGGGAGACUGCCGGUGAUAAACCGGAGGAAGGUGGGGACGACGUCAAGUCAUCAUGGCCCUUACGAGUAGGGCUACACACGUGCUACAAUGGCGCAUACAGAGGGCGGCCAACUUGCGAAAGUGAGCGAAUCCCAAAAAGUGCGUCGUAGUCCGGAUUGGAGUCUGCAACUCGA